rnacentral:rRNA from 1 species
AGUGAACGCUGGCGGUAGGCCUAACACAUGCAAGUCGAACGGCAGCACAGUAAGAGCUUGCUCUUACGGGUGGCGAGUGGCGGACGGGUGAGGAAUACAUCGGAAUCUACUUUUUCGUGGGGGAUAACGUAGGGAAACUUACGCUAAUACCGCAUACGACCUACGGGUGAAAGCAGGGGAUCUUCGGACCUUGCGCGAUUGAAUGAGCCGAUGUCGGAUUAGCUAGUUGGCGGGGUAAAGGCCCACCAAGGCGACGAUCCGUAGCUGGUCUGAGAGGAUGAUCAGCCACACUGGAACUGAGACACGGUCCAGACUCCUACGGGAGGCAGCAGGGGGAAAUAUUGGACAAUGGGCGCAAGCCGGAUCCGGCCAUACCGCGUGGGUAAAGAAGGCCUUCGGUUUGUAAAGCCCUUUUGUGGGGAAAGAAAAGCAGCAGGUUAAUACCCCGCUGUUCUGACGGUACCCAAAGAAUAAGCACCGGCCAACUUCGU